CGGGGGAGGCCGGAUCCUGGGUGUGUCCCGCCGCCCUGUGCUCCGGAGCCUGCGCUGUUGGAUUCGCGCUCCCGCCCCGCAGCCCCCU
rnacentral:pre_miRNA from 1 species